rnacentral:rRNA from 1 species
UACGAAGGUGGCAAGCGUUGUUCGGAUUUACUGGGCGUACAGGGAGCGUAGGCGGUUGGAUAAGCCCUCCGUGAAAUCUCCAGGCUUAACCUGGAAAGUGCAGAGGGGACUGUUCAGCUAGAGGAUGGGAGAGGAGCGCGGAAUUCCCGGUGUAGCGGUGAAAUGCGUAGAGAUCGGGAGGAGGGCCGGUGGCGAAGGCGGCGCUCUGGAACAUUUCUGACGCUGAGGCUCGAAAGCGUGGGGAGCAAACAGG